GAGUUUGAUCCUGGCUCAGGAUGAACGCUGGCGGCGCGCCUAACACAUGCAAGUCGAACGAGCGAGAGAGAGCUUGCUUUCUCGAGCGAGUGGCGAACGGGUGAGUAACGCGUGAGGAACCUGCCUCAAAGAGGGGGACAACAGUUGGAAACGACUGCUAAUACCGCAUAAGCGCACAGAGCUGCAUGGCUCGGUGUGAAAAACUCCGGUGGUAUAGGAUGGACCCGCGUUGGAUUAGCUAGUUGGUGAGGUAACGGCCUACCAAGUCGACGAUCCAUAGCCGGACUGAGAGGUUGAACGGCCACAUUGGGACUGAGACACGGCCCAGACUCCUACGGGAGGCAGCAGUGGGGAAUAUUGCACAAUGGGGGAAACCCUGAUGCAGCGACGCCGCGUGAAGGAAGAAGUAUCUCGGUAUGUAAACUUCUAUCAGCAGGGAAGAUAGUGACGGUACCUGACUAAGAAGCCCCGGCUAACUACGUGCCAGCAGCCGCGGUAAUAC
rnacentral:rRNA from 1 species